rfam:Trichobilharzia regenti genome assembly, scaffold: TRE_scaffold0032123
AUCCAGCCGACAAGUUCCAAAUAGGAGGAAAUGCACAUCUUGGAU